GGCACUAUAGCCAAGUAGUUAAGGCGACAGAUUAGAAUUAUAAUAGAGAUUCAUCUGUUACUCUUUGAGUGCGCAGGUUCAAAUCUUGCUGGUGUCG